rnacentral:sRNA from 1 species
AGCAACACAAUGGGGCGGUACCCCGCGG